ensembl:lncRNA
AACGUCUGCCUCUGAUGUCAUAGGUCAACAUAAUAAAAUAGGAGGCAUUACUUUCAGAGCAGCCCUCCUAUGUUGAGGGAGGAGAGUAUCAAAAAGUGUUUGGAGACAGUUUACAAGAAGAAAAAGUUUAUAAGUAACUGACUAUGUUUCAUGUGUUAUACGGUAUUCUUUGCUGUAACAAAUGAAUAUUUAAGAGAGAGCAACAUGAAGGCUAAUUACUUUCUCAGAUUCCAUUUGUCCAAAUAGCUCUUGUAGCAAGGAAACAUCAGUACAUCUCCUGAUGUCCACAUAGCAUGGGAACAGCUGAAUUAUCCAGUUAUUUGUCCUCCUGUUUAGCAUGCAUCUUGAAAAAACACUCACCUCCCCUUCCCUCUACAGAAAUACAAACACUACUGACAUUUUGUGGACUUUUUCAUAAAGCCAACAAAACUGGCUUUGCAUGAGGUUGUCAACUAACAGUAGCGGAGAUGACAGUUACGUUAAUAUACAAUUACUAUUCACAUCCACUUCAAAUACAGCUCUAGGUGGAUUAUCUUUAUUUAUUAGUUUCAUACAAAUUUCCUUCCUAAAGCUCAAACAUUUAUAAUGACUCAUGACAGAAGGACAUCAAAUCAUUUCCUGAAGGAAGUCUUACUGAAAUAGGACUGUGGAUUGACAUUUGUCAAGUUACAUUUAUUUAACACAUGAAAACUUAUGGCAGAAGUUGCUGUGUUAAUUUUUUAAUGACAUGACAAGACCUCCUACUGGCCAGGGAAGUAUGGUUUGUGGAAGUUCAUAGGUGGCCAAAAAAAAAAAAAAAAAAAAGCCAAAAAACCCACAACGAACCAUUCAAAACCAACAUCUUUCUCCACUGCAGUACUAAUGACAAUUAAUAAUCAUUUAAUAUAAUAAUCCUAUUCAUAAGCAUUAUUUUUAUGAAUAAAACCUGUAAUUUCGGUGGCUCAUAUUCAAGGUUCUCAGCUCAGAAACUGUGCUUACUGUACAUAAUGCAAGAACAUUGGACUUCAAUAAUCUCAUCAAUUUCACUGUAUUUAUCUUGUACUUUGAAGACAACUACAGGACUUCAUUGGUUUCCGCUUAUGGAUAAGUCAAGUUGAUAUAUAGCAAUUAUUUUUUGGUUUCAAGAUGCAAUACCUGCUCUGAAAUCCAACUUACAUUCAAGUUAUCAACUGUACAAGUUAUAUUAACUUCACUAUCACUGCAGCUGCAAGUCGCUUGGUCCAAAAUCAUCUGAUAUAGUUUGAAACCACAACAAAGAACUGUGAUCAAACUCCAGCUCCAAAUGCAUCUUAUCACAGAGCACUGCUAAUGGUCUCAUCUCUGUUGUAGUAGGCGCCUUGCGGGGAUAUGGGAUGUACGGGACAGGCCUCUCCCUAAGCAUAGAGAGACAGUGCUAUCGUGCUGACCUUGAUGCAGAGAAAACAGGAGAAGAAGAAGGAUGAGAAAAGAAUGUGGAAAUGGCCAAAUAAGGCACAAUGUUAUCUGGUGUGAACCAAUCAGAGUGGGACAUGACAGCACGGUUAUCUAGGUAAAAUGUAUAUAAGCUGUGUUUAGUAGUGAAUAAACGCCAUUU